UGAAAACCCCUCAGGCCCCGUGAGAAACCCCAAAGGUGACUGAGUGUCCACAGGAAACACCCCGGCCUCCGAGGGUCCCCCCGUCCCUGGGUGGCACCGUCAUCCACCAAGCUCCGCCCCCCAGGACAAUGGGGUGAGGAAGUGCUGCCCGUGCCCAGCUCGUGCCCUGAAGAGGAGGGGCCCGGCUGCUCAGGGCUUGUCUCCAGCUUCCCCAAGCUGGCUCAGGCCGAGGGAACAGAGGACGCUUGGGGACAGGAGGAGCUGCAGAAGCAGAACUGAGACUCAGAGACCAUGGAGGGGGUGGAGGCUGAGUCUUCCUGGGCUGAGCAGGGGGAACUCCAGCCCCCAAUUGCCCAAAUGAGCUUCAGGAAAGGCUCUGGGCCUUACUCAGGAGAACGCUUCCCAGCAGGGGGCACAGGGGGACCACCGUGCACAGACGUCCAGCAUCUCGAAGGAUACUGACCAAACCCCAGAGGAUGACCGGGCAGCGUUUCUUCCCUCUGUUCACUCGUGUGUUUCACCUUCUCAGACAACGGUAUGCGGUUUCUGUGACGUCCAUCAAGGUGACAUCCUAAAACCAGAAAAAGGAAGUGCACCAGGAGGGGAGACAGCCCACGGGAGCUCUUCCCCACCGCCGCUCCCCCUCGGACAGGCCCCGUGCUGGAUGCAUUAGAAGACAGACUUCAGCUCCAAGCCAGCAGCCGGCAACACUGAAUAUUCAUGCCUCGACUUCCACGCUUUUCAAUUAAACACAAUAAAGUAAAUUCCCG